CCGAGUUUCUAACUCCAUACCUUUGUGAACAUACCUAUCGUUGCUUCGGCGGGUUCGUCCCGGGGCUCGCAGUGCACGGCCUGCCCCGGAACCAGACGUCCGCCGAGGACCCCAAACUCUGUUUUUAUAGUGGAUCUUCUGAGUCAAAAACAAAAUAAAUUA
rnacentral:misc_RNA from 1 species